UAAGGAAUAUUGGUCAAUGGACGCAAGUCUGAACCAGCCAUGCCGCGUGAAGGAUGAAAGCCCUCUGGGUUGUAAACUUCUUUUAUCUGGGAAGAAACCACCUUUUUCUAAGGGUGUUGACGGUACCAGAGGAAUAAGCACCGGCUAACUCCGUGCCAGCAGCCGCGGUAAUACGGAGGGUGCAAGCGUUAUCCGGAUUCACUGGGUUUAAAGGGUGCGUAGGCGGAUUAUUAAGUCCGUGGUGAAAUCUCCAAGCUUAACUUGGAAACUGCCAUGGAUACUAUUAGUCUUGAAUGUUGUGGAGGUUAGCGGAAUAUGUCAUGUAGCGGUGAAAUGCAUAGAUAUGACAUAGAACACCAAUUGCGAAGGCAGCUGGCUACACAAAUAUUGACGCUGAGGCACGAAAGCGUGGGGAUCAAACAGG
rnacentral:rRNA from 1 species